GAUCAUGGCUCAGGAUGAACGCUAGCUACAGGCUUAACACAUGCAAGUCGAGGGGCAGCAUGAACUUAGCUUGCUAAGUUUGAUGGCGACCGGCGCACGGGUGAGUAACACGUAUCCAACCUGCCGAUGACUCGGGGAUAGCCUUUCGAAAGAAAGAUUAAUACCCGAUGGCAUAGUUCUUCCGCAUGGUAGAACUAUUAAAGAAUUUCGGUCAUCGACGGGGAUGCGUUCCAUUAGGUUGG
rnacentral:rRNA from 1 species